GAUUAACGCUGGCGGCGUGCAUAACACAUGCAAGUCGAACGAUGAAACUCAUUAGAUUUCUUCGGAAUGAAAAUGAAUGGAUUAGUGGCGAACGGGCGAGUAACGCGUGAGUAACCUGCCUUACACAAGGGGAUAGCCUCUGGAAACGGAGAAUAAUACCCUAUGAAACCAGACAAUCGCAUGAUAAUCUGGUCAAAAUGUUUAGUGGUGUAAGAUGGACUUGCGUCUGAUUAGCUAGUUGGUGAGAUAAAAGCUCACCAAGGCAACGAUCAGUAGCCGGCUUGAGAGAGUGUACGGCCACAUUGGGACUGAGACACGGCCCAGACUCCUACGGGAGGCAGCAGUGGGGAAUUUUGCACAAUGGGGGAAACCCUGAUGCAGCGACGCCGCGUGAUUUAGAAGGCCUUCGGGUUGUAAAAAUCUUUUGUAUAGGAAGAAAAUGACAGUACUAUACGAAUAAGGUCCGGCUAAUUACGUG
rnacentral:rRNA from 1 species